GCAUGUGUGUGCGUGUGCGUGUGUGCAUGUGCAUGCAUGUGCGUGUGUGUGCAUGUGUGUGUGCAUUAGUGGUUCCACUCAGCUACAUAGGAGAGUGAAACCAUAUCCCUGUUGGUACGUGGCGGGAAUUGGGGAACAUCAUGCUGAGUGAAAUGUGAAGCAGAAAGUCAGGGUCGAUCGUGCUCUCUCAUCUGUGGAAGUUGGAAACGAGGAGGGAAGUGGUUUUCAUAAAAUAGCACAGUGGGUAGGAUGAGAGGGAAAGGGGGACAGGGAAAUGAAACUGACCACAGUGUGCGUGUGUCGUCACAUGACCUGCCGUGAACCCCACUGAUCAUGAUGCACCGAUCACAGGACUUUACAGAGGGACACAGGUGUCUGUUUCCUGACAAGUCAUGUCUGCUGGGACCUUGAAACUCCAACCUGGGCAAAUGUCUUCUAGGGAAAACCAAUUAUGGCCGGGCAUAAGGUGCACACGCCUGUAAUCCCUGCACCCCAGGAGGCUGAGGCAGGAGGAUCUCAAGUUCAAAGCCAGCCUCAGCAACAGCAAGGAAAAGAAGGGGUGCUUCCAACCUCACCCCACCACCCACCUCCCUCCUGGCUGAGGUGCAGUAAGCACUGGGGGUUCUGCCCCUGGGCACACCUGGGAUGCCUGAGCCCUCGCUGCGGUGGCAACACACACACAUCCCACUUCCCACUGUGACCUUCUCAGGGGAGGAACGGGGCUGGGACCUGACCCUCACAAUCACAGGCAGCGACUUUCAGAGCUUAAGUCACCGAGGGACAUUCCGCAGCCACGGAGCAAGUCACUCUGCGUCCCCUCCCCCGGCCCCGGAAACACCCAUCUGUCCCUACGCAUUUCACUAUUUUCUAUUCUCUUUUUAAAUCUCACUGGUCUUGCUGGCCCCAGUGGGCAGGAAACAGGGAUACAGCUGUACCCCCGGUGCACAGGGGACCCCACCUUGAGAGGGUCUGACCCUAGGUGUCAGCCAUUCUGGGGCUGAAGCCUGUGAGGGGGUCUUGCCUGAACAGUCCCCAGGGUAAGGUCCCCUCCCCCAGUCUCCCCACUGGGUAAAUAAAGACCGGGCAGGAGGUUUUUCUCACCUACAAGAGAGGAGCUGUUAAAACCUCAGCCCCAGGAUGUCCAGAGCCCCUGUCCCACAUCCUGUGCCUCCUCAGCACCAGGACAGCAGGGCAGGACCUCUCUGGGCUGGGGGUGGGCAUGCCUUUCUGAUCUUUGCAAGACGCCAGCAGCUCCUCCUCAGGUGACAAACAGCAAGUUCUCUCAGCACUGCCCACGGUCCAGAGGGCAUCAGUUCACACUCCAAGGACACCCGCCUCAAAGGGGCUCUGUGCUGGUCCUCCUUUGCUUAUGAAAUAAAUAAAUCUCUUUGGGGAAAUCUC